AAGUCGUAACAAGGUUUCCGUAGGUGAACCUGCGGAAGGAUCAUUAUUGAAUUAUGUUUUCUAGAUGGGUUGUAGCUGGCUCCUAGGAGCAUGUGCACGCCUGUCUGGACUUCAUUUUCAUCCACCUGUGCACCCUUUGUAGUCUUUGUUGGGUAUGGAGGAAGUGGUCAGCCUUAUCAGCUCUUGCUGGAUAUGAGGACUUGCAGUGUGAAAGCAGUGCUGUCCGCUACUUGGCCAUGGAAUCUGUUUCCCAUCAGAGUCUAUGUUGUUCAUUAUACCCUAUAAACUGUUAUUGAAUGUCUUUACAUGGGCUUCUAUGCCUAUGAAAAUUGUAAUACAACUUUCAGCAACGGAUCUCUUGGCUCUC
rnacentral:misc_RNA from 1 species